rnacentral:rRNA from 1 species
GACGGAGGGUGCUAGCGUUGUUCGGAAUUACUGGGCGUAAAGGGCGCGUAGGCGGCCUGGUCAGUCGGAUGUGAAAGCCCGGGGCUCAACCCCGGAACGGCAUCCGAGACGGCCAGGCUGGAGACCGGGAGAGGAGGGUGGAAUAGCCAGUGUAGAGGUGAAAUUCGUAGAUAUUGGCUGGAACACCGGUGGCGAAAGCGGCUCUCUGGCCCGGGUCUGACGCUGAGGCGCGAAAGCGUGGGGAGCAAACAGG